rnacentral:tRNA from 1 species
GGCCCAAUGGUUCAGUCGGUUAGAACGCCGCCCUGUCACGGCGGAGGUCAGGGGUUCGAGUCCCCUUUGGGUCGCUA